GAUGAAGAACGUAGCGAAAUGCGAUAAGUAGUGUGAAUUGCAGAAUUCAGUGAAUCAUCGAAUCUUUGAACGCACAUUGCGCCCCUUGGUAUUCCAUGGGGCAUGCCUGUUCGAGCGUCAUUUCAACCCUCAAGCCCCGCUUGGUGUUGGGCCCCGCCCGCCGUGGCCGGCCCUAAAGACAGUGGCGGCGCCGCCUGGCCCUCAGCGUAGUACAGCUCUCGCUCCAGGGUCCGGCGGCCGCCUGCCAGAACCCCCCCAACUCUGUGGUUGACCUCGGAUCAGGUAGGGAUACCCGCUGAACUUAAGCAUAUCAAUAAGCGGAGGA
rnacentral:misc_RNA from 1 species